CUGCCCUCGCCCAGGACCCUCUUGGCCCGCGCGGCCGCGGCCUCUUCUCCACGAUCCCGGCCCCCUGCCCCCUGCCCGGCUGGUUUUAUCGGGGAUCAUAAGGACAGUCACCACCUAACUAGGAGCAAAUCCCCAACAAUCGAGGAAACAGGGCGCUCCUGCCUUGCGCCCCCAGGCUGGCGUUGGGAGUUCUUUAGAGCCAGCGCUGCGGAGCCCCAGCACCCGGAACGUAGAGAGGCUGUGGAGGCAUGGGGCAAAUUGUGCCCGCAGCCUGGGGCCUAGAGCUGCAUCUGUGCACCGGGCCUCCAGGAGCCCGGCUCAGUGGACGAAAUCUGGCAUGCUCGGACGUCACCCCACAGGCCUCACGCCUCAGAGGGACCCCGAAAGGUGAGUUGAUGACUGCAGAGUGAGUUUGUACCUUUUCGAACACCACCUGCCGGGGGUCCGAGCCCCCACCCCCAGUCUACAUCAGCCAAUCACAGCUCAUUGCAGGUGCUGCGCUUGUCACAUAGCUUUCUGCAAACAAGAGAAGCCGACCAAGCCAUGCACGGCUGGAAAAUGGCCCUUAUAAAGCCAUCAAGUCCUAAUCCAGGCAACCUGUAAAUAUUAUCUCGUAUGGGAAAACAAUUUUUUUUUCUAAUGUCGUUAAGGAUCUUGAGAUAGAGAGAUUGUCCUGGAUUAUCCAGGUGGGCCCUAAACACUGUGGCUCACGCCUAUAAUCCCAGCACUUUGGGAGCCUGAGGCAGGUAAAUCUCUUGAGCCCAGGAGUUCGAGACCAGCCUGAGCAACAUGGUGAGACCUCGUCUGUACAAAAGAUAGAAAAAUUAUCUGGGCAUGGUAGUGUGCACCUGUAGUCCCAGCUACUCCUGAGGUGGAAGGAUUGCUUGAGGCCAGGAGGUUGAGGCAGCAGUGAGCCAGGAUCGCACCACUGCCCUCUAGCCUAGGUGACAAAGUGAGACCCUAUCUCAAAAAUAAAUAAAUACAACAGAGACAGGGUCUCUGUGUUGGCCAGGCUGGUCUUGAACUCCUGGCCUCAAGCGAUCCUCCCGCCUUGGCCUCUCAAAGUGCUGGGAUGACAGGCAUGAGCCAGUGUGCCCGGCCACAUGCAUCUUUGUAAGAGGGAGGCAGAAGGAAAUUUGGUGCCACACAGAAGAGAGGGCCACGGGAAGAUGGAGCAGAGAUGAAGAUGGAGCCUUGAAAAUGGACGUGAUGCAGUCACAAGCCAAGUAACGCCGGAGCCACCAGAGGCCCCAGAAACAAGGAGCAGAUUCUCCCCAGGAGCCAUGCGAGGGAGCCUGGCCCUGCCAAUGCCUUGAUUUCAGCACAUUAAAAGUGAUUUUGGACUUCUGGCCUCCAGAGCUGUGAAGGAA
rnacentral:lncRNA from 1 species